CCUCUGCUGCCUCAUAUGCUAUCUGCUCCAAACCGCGAGUAAAACUGCUGCCAUCCACGGGGUAAGACAUGAAAAUAAUGUUCCAAACUGAGUUGUAGUAAUUUUUGAUGUUGAGCACUGGUUGACCGGUAUACUGUUAACAUUUCAACUUUGUAGAGCUCCGUGAGAUCGGACGAUUUCCGCCGACCUGGCGAGGGUAAAUGGUGAAACUGCUCCUAGCUUGAUAACUUAGUCAGGUUUUUUGUUUUGUUUUUUUCCCCUGUGACAUCAGUAAAUGACGUCCCAUCCACAUCCCACCGUCCAGUGGAGAGCUGCCAGCUGGGUUUUCGUGUGAAGUUUCAGAGAUCCCGAGAUACCCAGCGUGAGCUGGGUGGCGAGCCGCAUCGAAACGACUGAUACUGAACUCAGAGUGGAGAAGGAUUCUUUCAUUCCCCCUUCCUCACGGACUGUGUGGUUGGACAGAACAAACAUACACUGAUACACUUGACAGGGAGCCGAAGGAAAAGAAGGGCCCCAACAGUAACUUUGGGACACAAAGGGUUUUAUUUUGUUAUUAGUUAUUUUUCAUUGAAUGCCUUGCAACUAUCUGUAUUUUCAUUGUGUUAUUGGUUAUUAAUAACAAGUGGCCACACAAAAAACUCAAACCAUUGUCUGUGUCUUUUAACUUCACCAACAACAAGGGCUCUAAGUAGCUUAUAGUCUUCAAUUACUGGUCCAUGUCUUAGCAUUGACUAUUACUUACCUGUGCUGUUAUAACAUGGUAAUAAGGGUUACAUAAAGAACAAACGGAAACGUGUCUCCUGCCUUGAGUAAAGUGAACUGUGUGCCUUAAAGGUGAAUUUGGUUGAAACUUCCUGGGGUGAAAUCCCCCAGGUGGCUUAGUGUAUAAUCUGACUUUAGUGUAUAAUCUGACCAGAAACUCUUAUACUUCAUCACCCCCGUCUCGCCACAUAUGGAUGAGAGAAAUUACAAAGUUUUUGCCAGAUUUGAGGAGUCAGACUGAUUAAUCACUGUGGACCCAUGCAGCGGUCUUAACAAAAUCUUGCUGUGAAGAUAAAUUUAAGUGCAAAGCUUCACAGUAAACUGGGUUUAAAAUUAUUUAUACUUUGAAUGUUUUAUUAUUUGGGUUUAAAGAGAGAACAUGCAACAUUGUUUGUGGUCUGUAAUAAAGGUUAAUAAAAAAGCA